rnacentral:rRNA from 1 species
GUGGGGAAUCUUGCGCAAUGGGCGAAAGCCUGACGCAGCGACGCCGCGUGCGGGAUGACGGCCUUCGGGUUGUAAACCGCUGUCGGGAGGGACGAAGCUCUGACGGUACCUCCAAAGGAAGCACCGGCUAACUCUGUGCCAGCAGCCGCGGUAAUACAGAGGGUGCAAGCGUUGUCCGGAAUCACUGGGCGUAAAGGGCGCGUAGGCGGCCUGGUAAGUCGGGGGUGAAACGCUGCGGCUCAACCGCAGCACUGCCUUCGAGACUGUCAGGCUUGAGCACGGUAGAGGCAGGUGGAAUUCCCGGUGUAGCGGUGGAAUGCGUAGAGAUCGGGAAGAACAUCGGUGGCGAAGGCGGCCUGCUGGGCCGUUGCUGACGCUGAGGCGCGACAGCGUGGGGAGCAAACAGGAUUAGAUACCCGAGUAGUCC